GUUGUGCUACGCCCCCUGGGUCCCAGUGCCGCAGCUCCCACAGGGCAGCUGACCUUUGAAGCUCGGCUCUCUAAAAGCGUGCCUGAAACCCAGAAUUUGAGUCGGAUCUUGCAAGAGGCAUCGCGAGUUGGGCCCGGCCUGAGGUGCGGGGCGACGGAUACGAGAGAAGGGCACCUGAGGAUGAACUCUGAAAGACCCUUUUAGUGGAGGGACUUGUGGUUUACCUGGUGUAAACCGGAGGCGUGCUCUAGCCAGAUCGCGUUUUUUGCCUACAGUGUAAGUACUUUCUUCCUGCAAGAUGGUGACCGCAAACCAGGGUGUUUACUUGAGCAGCAUCUUAGAGGAGGAGAGAGGACUUAAAGAAAUUGAACCACAGAGAAAAUUAAGGAAGUUACCUACAAUCCUCAUCCUGGCUGGAGCUGCUAUUUUGAACUGUCACUUCCUCAGUGAGGCCUUCCUGGAUCAUCUGGUUUAAAAUGAGUGGCUCAUUUGGUGAAGCGUCUACUUUGGCUCAGGUUGUGAUCUCAGGGUGCUGGGAUCAAGACCUGCAUCCAGCUCCCUGCUCAGUGGGGAGCCUGCUUGUCCCUAUUCCUCUGCCUCCUGCUUGUGCUCUCUUGCAAAUAAAUAAAUCUUCAAAAAUAAACUAAAAUAAAAUUGCAACGCAUAUGCAAUUCUCAGCGUAUUUUCCUCCACGGCACUUACCUCCAUAUUUAGUGCUGUAUAACUUACGAAUUAUAAAAUCAUCUCCCCACCCUAGUAUGUAAGUUCCUAGAGAAUGAGGGUGUUUAUGCAGCACUUAGAAUAGUGCUUGGCACACACAGUGGAUGCUCAGUAAGCAUGUGUUGAAUGAAUGAGCAGAUGUGGAAUAAAAGGAGAGGCUGGUGUGCAGAAAGCAGAAUGAAGACAAUAUGCAGAGAGAGAAAGAGACAAGAGGGAGAGAUUGCCCUGAUCACACCCUGUCCCUUUCUGAGCUCUGGUUCUCUUCCUACCCUAGCUUCUGUCAGAGGCACCUGUGUCUGUUAUAAAUCCAUCCCCAUGCCCUCUGUUGAAGUUUGGAAUAAACAAAGUUGCUCUUUGUUUCUUGCAGUUAAAUAUCUCUUAGCUGAGAUAGCACCCCGUUUCUUCUGCCAGAAAUACCUUUUUAUCCUUGUCUAAAAACUCAAUCUCAUUUUUAAAAAUUUAUUUAUUUGACAGACAGAGAUCACAGGUAGGCAGGCAGGCAGAGAGGAGGAAGUAGGCUCCCUGCUGAGCAGAGACUGAUGCGGGGCUCAAUCCCAGAACCCUGAGACCAUGACCUGAGCUGAAGGCAGAGGCUUUAAUCCACUGAGCCACCCAGGAGCCCCCUCAAUCUCAUUUUUUAUUAAAAAGUCAUCAGUCAAGCUGCCCCUGGCUAUCCCAGGCCAUUACGUGUGUUCUGUGAAAGGGGGGUGUAUGCAAAAGGACCACCAAAGGUCAAAGAAGUCACAAGACCCGAGAGAAAGGAUGACAAGUCUAGCUUGGCAAGUAAUGGCUUAUUAGGGGGACAGAUGUUUCUUUGGCUGCCACGGUACAAGUAGACUUGCACGUGUCUCCUGUCUCCAGGGCAGAUCAAGGAUGCUAUGCCCUAAGGGUAUACUUAAGGAUGUGGUUAAACAAAAGGAAAGAAUGGGGGGACCUGUGCUCAAGAAAGUUUCAGGUCACAAAACAGUCAUCCUGGCGGAUUUGUCCAAGAUAGACAUGAAACAUGAAACAUUUACCAAAACUUUUGUCCUUCGGGUGGGGAUCACUUUUCCUUCCUAAGGUAGUGCCUGGCACAUGGUGAACACAAUACAGGCUACCGAAUAAACAAAGGAGGGAGGAGGUCUAGGUCUGGCACAUUCUAAAUUGGGAAAAAGUGAAUUUGUGAUGAGAUUCUGCUCACACACAAGUAUCAAAGUAGACAAUUCAACAUUUGGAUGGUGAAGACUAUAUGCAGACUAUACAUUUCUACAUGGAAAAAAGAAACAGAAUGAAAAUGAAUUUCCCCAAAUAAAUUAUAGUUUGUUGUGUUUUUUUUUUUUUUAAGAUUAUUUAUUUAUUUAUUUGAUAGACAGAGAUUACAAGUAGUCAG